rnacentral:lncRNA from 1 species
AUCCACCGGUUUCAUAGCCAACAAAGCUAGGGUCGAUCCAGAGCAAUGGGCUGAGUGCAAUAUUUCACGCACUCCCACAGCUGAUUAGUUGCAGCCAUAGGGGAGCCAGUCACCACAUAACUCGUACGAGACACUCUCUCAGAGAGAUGAUCGAAAGAUGCUCAGACGAGGAUACUGGUAUCCGAUCGGCAGAGAGGGGCAUAAAGGGUAAGAGGGUAGCUGUCCAGCAAAUCAAAAAA